rnacentral:rRNA from 1 species
GCCUACAUGAAGCUGGAAUCGCUAGUAAUCGCGGAUCAGCAUGCCGCGGUGAAUACGUUCCCGGGCCUUGUACACACCGCCCGUCACACCACGAGAGUUUGUAACACCCGAAGUCGGUGGGGUAACCUUUUUGGAGCCAGCCGCCUAAGGUGGGACAGAUGAUUGGGGUGAAGUCGUAACAAGGUAGCCGUAUCGGAAGGUGCGGCUGGAUCACCUCCUUUCUAUGGAGA